rnacentral:misc_RNA from 1 species
CCUGUGGAGGAGGACGCCGAAGGUGGGGCUAAUGACUGGGGUGAAGUCGUAACAAGGUAGCCGUACCGGAAGGUGCGGCUGGAUCACCUCCUAACAGGGAGACAACAAAAUGUUUAAUAUUAUUAUUUUGUCACCUUAGGUCGAUCGGUAUCUCACGUUCUUAAUUCAUUAAGGAUUUCAUUUCCUAAGUUUUUCUAGGUCACACCCAUUAUUUUCCUGGGCCAUUAGCUCAGGUGGUUAGAGCGCACCCCUGAUAAGGGUGAGGUCCCUGGUUCAAGUCCAGGAUGGCCCAUAUCUCUAUGUUGGGGGUAUAGCUCAGUUGGUAGAGCGCCUGCUUUGCAAGCAGGAUGUCAGCGGUUCGAGUCCGCUUACCUCCACUGAUUACCACCUCUUCCAUAAUUUGUAGAAGGGAAUAUUUUGAGUUGUGAUCAAAUUCUGAACGAAUCUAGCUUCCUAAUGAAAUCAUUAAGAUGCUGGACUCAUUGAAUUAAUUUCAUUGUUUUCAGAGAACCUUGACAACUGCAUAGAUUAUUUUUAAAGACAAUAAGCAUCUUUUAAUGAUGCAGAUUUAUUAUUUGUGCGAAUGCAUUAAUAACAAUUCUAUUAAGCUGAUGCUUCAAUUUUGAAGUUAUUGGUCAAGCUACAAAGGGGCUCACGGAGGAUACCUAG